rnacentral:ribozyme from 9 species
GCGUGGUGAAGGUCUGAGGAGAACCACACAACCGAUGAGCAAUGUCAGCCAUAAGAAAAUUUUCCCUGCAGGGGAAGCCGAGGGGGGCUGUUUCAGGACACAGCAAUUGGGGAACCCUUCCCGCAACAUCGGCU